ACUGAUCGGAUUGAGGUGAUCUUUACACCAAUUUAAAGCUAAGAAAGAGAUCUACAUUUGGUAUGAAAACAUCAAAGUCCAAUUCAGUCGUUUUCAUAGUCCAAAAGUUGAAAUACCGAAAUUCAACUCAGCUGUCCAAAGUGGAAAAUAGAGUUCUGACCAGUCUUUAGUAUUUUGGUCAUAUCUCAGGUUACAAAGCUCCGAUCUGGAUGAUUUUUAGAGCAUUGGAAAGCUAACUCAAAGGACUACAACUUUGGUGUUUUCCACAAAAGCCAAUUCAGCCUUUAUGAUAGAGAAAAUCGCAGUUGAAGUAAGGACAAAGUGAAUACGCGAGUACACAAAACGUGACUUGUAACCGCGUUUUGUGUAGGCGCGUUUUCUGGCCGCAAUUCUGCAAUUUGCUCAGUCAAUUCUCUUAUGUUCAAACUACUUUCCAGCUACAAUCUGCAAGAGAAUUCGAUGCACAUGCCUCAGAAGACAAGAGAGCAAUAAAGAUGGCUUAUUUUCAAGUCAAAAACAUUUGUUAUUGACUAUCUUAACAAUUUCAGAUUUGAGAAUCCUUAGAGCAGCAAAUUUGGACUAGAGAGGAGCUUUUCAUCAGCUUAUAUGCAGAGACAUUUGGGAGAUCUGAGGACAUUGGGAAUCAUACGGGGGAGAGAGCUUGAAGUGCAGAAUUGUAGUUCUUCCAUUUCCUUUGUGUAGUAUAGUUUAGCUAGUUAGUUCAUCCACUCUUGUAUAUUGCUAGAUUAGGAUGAAGAUUGAGAUGAAGAAGGAGGAGUUGAAGCUCAUGUGACAAGGGUUAUCUCUUCUCCAAUUCUUUAUCGUUUGUACUUGAUUCCAAAUUUAGUUAAUAUGUAAUUUCUGGAUUUUAUGUUAUUUAUGUGUCUUUAAAGUUUAUACCUUGGGUUUGGUUGAA
rnacentral:lncRNA from 1 species